GCCAGGGUAGCUCAGUUGGUUAGAGCGGAGGACUCAUAAGCCUCAGGUCGUGGGUUCAAAUCCCACCCCUGGUACCA
rnacentral:tRNA from 1 species